rnacentral:lncRNA from 1 species
UCCGCUGGCCCAGACUUGCAUGACCUAGCUAGAGAAGCCCCCGGGAACGUGCCAGGGCAAACCUGCCAGGCAGAGGGCUGCUUGGUCAGUGUUUGAUGAGCAUAACUGGCUCAAUGAGAGCACUUCCAGCAUUUAGGUGACAGACUGUUGUCUCAAUGCUGUCCAAAGUGCUGCCCGGAAUUAGAAAAUUGCAAUUAUCAAGGUCUGAGGUAUGUAUUUGCUCCUCUUUUAUCUUUUAGGAAUCGAUGGAUUUCCUAAGAUACGUUGUUGAGUAAGUAUUAGUUUGACUUUUCUCUUUGAGGUUUCUGUGCCCUUCCCAGAAAGAAGCACUAAGCAGUAGCUCAGCUAACUUACUUAGCUCAUCUCAGACCUUCCCAGGGAGCUGAAGGCCGGGUUCAUCGGUUGGGGCUGGGGGGAGCACAGGGUCUGCCUCUGCCUCUGCCUCACGCUGAGUGUCCUGCAGCAAGCUGAACUUCGUGCCCCUGGAGCGGGAGAUGCCCGUGCAGUUCCAGGUGGUGGAGCUGCCGAGCGGCCACCACCUGUGCAAAGUCAGAGCCCUGAAUAAGGGGGACGCCAACUCUGAAGUCACUGUGUACUACCAGUCAGGUACAAGGAGUCUGAGAGAAUACACGCUCAUGGAGCUGCUUGUGAUGCACAUGGAGG